GCAGUCGAGCGGAAGGCCCUUCGGGGUACUCGAGCGGCGAACGGGUGAGUAACACGUGAGUAACCUGCCCCUGACUCUGGGAUAAGCCCGGGAAACUGGGUCUAAUACCGGAUACGACACCUCCCCGCAUGGGGUGGGUGUGGAAAGUUUUUUCGGUUGGGGAUGGACUCGCGGCCUAUCAGCUUGUUGGUGGGGUAACGGCCUACCAAGGCGACGACGGGUAGCCGGCCUGAGAGGGCGACCGGCCACACUGGGACUGAGACACGGCCCAGACUCCUACGGGAGGCAGCAGUGGGGAAUAUUGCGCAAUGGGCGAAAGCCUGACGCAGCGACGCCGCGUGGGGGAUGACGGCCUUCGGGUUGUAAACCUCUUUCAGCAGGGACGAAGGUGACGUGUACCUGCAGAAGAAGCGCCGGCUAACUACGUGCCAGCAGCCGCGGUAAUACGUAGGGCGCAAGCGUUGUCCGGAAUUAUUGGGCGUAAAGAGCUCGUAGGUGGCUUGUCACGUCGGGUGUGAAAGCUUGGGGCUUAACUCCAGGUCUGCAUUCGAUACGGGCUGGCUAGAGGUAGGUAGGGGAGAACGGAAUUCCUGGUGUAGCGGUGAAAUGCGCAGAUAUCAGGAGGAACACCGGUGGCGAAGGCGGUUCUCUGGGCCUUACCUGACGCUGAGGAGCGAAAGCGUGGGGAGCGAACAGGAUUAGAUACCCUGGUAGUCCACGCUGUAAACGUUGGGCGCUAGGUGUGGGGACCUUCCACGGUUUCCGCGCCGUAGCUAACG
rnacentral:rRNA from 1 species